CCCACUUAUUUCCAUCACCCACGUUCACAAUUCAUUUACCAAACUUCUGCAAUAAUUAACUGAAUUCCUGUAUUCUCCAUUCAUAAUUCCCACAGCUCAUUCUGCCGAGGAGGAGCUCAUGUUUUUAAAAACAGUCGAGCAGUUUCAUAGCUUCAACAUCAAAGCAAUUUCAUAUCUUUGAACAGAACAUCCCUAAGGCUUUGAGCAUCAGGAGGAUUAGCACUGCUAUUCCGAUUCAGAGAUAAGGUUAAACGACAGGCUUUGCCUAGACAGGUGGGCUUACUUUCCAAAUGUACAAAGUAUGAUUGAGUUAUUAAGCUCUAAAUAUUUCAAUGAAAUGCAAAUUAUUUAUUUAAUGUUAUGAAAACUGUUUAUCCAAUAAAAUGUUUAUGUGCACUCUGCUCUGUUUAAGGCUCGCGCAGUUAAUCAAUUGAGGUUCUCUUAUGACCUAAUACGUUGUUUGAGAAUUGUGUACACUUGUUAGUUGACUCGGUGGGUUGAUCUCCAUCGGGCUCUAACCAGAGGCGUUAUAAGGGUGCUCGGCUGGAUGUGUUCCGGAGCAUGAGAAAUAUCAGGCCUGCCUGGGUAGCGUCCCGAGGUCAAAGUAAACUUGUCUGGGUUACGCCCUCAGUUCAAGUAAGCGGGAGACAGAGAUCCGUCGGUGGCUAAAAGGUCCGGGAUCACAGCGAGUAACAGAAAGGGAGUGUGACAUGUGCGCACAAAUGAAAGAAAAUAUUUUAACAUGCUUAGAAGCUAUUUCAAUUUAAAACCUUCUAAGUCAUGUCAAGUAUGAUUGGAUAAACUGUCUUUACGAAAAUAUAAAAUGUUUCAGAAAAUGCAUGCCCACUAAGUACAUUAGUACUUAGCCCAAAAAUACUUUCAAAUGUUUUCAGGUUGGCUGGACGGUGCUGACGGGACGGAGCUGAGGCUAAAGAUAAAUUCCUAUGUUAGACUUCCGCUGUAGCAAUUACUCAUAUCCAUCUUUUGUUUUCCCAACUUAAGAUCUUCAUGUUAAAUUUCAAAUGAUAUAUUUGACCGAGCUUAGACUCUUCACUACUAAAUUUAUGCUAAUGAAUGUUGGUUGUCAGAAGCAUGAAACAAAA